rnacentral:lncRNA from 1 species
GAAAUCACUAUUGCUUCGAACGGGGGUCAAGACUUCUACGACGUUAGUCUUGUUGACGGCUUCAACUUGCCCAUGUCCGUGGCUCCACAAGGCGGCACCGGCGACUGUAAGGCGUCAACUUGCCCUGCCGAUAUUAACAAAGUGUGCCCGGCUCCGUUACAAGUGAAGGGAUCUGAUGGAAGCGUAAUUGCGUGCAAGAGCGCUUGCUUAGCAUUCAACCAGCCAAAAUACUGUUGCACUCCACCUAACGACAAGCCGGAGACAUGCCCUCCCACUGAUUACUCUAAGCUCUUCAAGACCCAGUGCCCUCAAGCUUAUAGCUAUGCUUAUGAUGACAAGAGCAGCACCUUCACAUGCAGUGGUAGACCUGACUACCUCAUCACAUUCUGCCCAUAAGCAUAUAUAUAUAUAUAGAAUGGGAUCUUAUAUGAUAUGAUAUUAUACAUAUAGUUCCCAAUAAAUAAAUUUCCUGGAUCUUGACACAUUGUUGAUGUCAAGAAUUUGUAAUGCAGACGAUCAAAUAACGUAAAUGUUUGGAUUUUAUUUUCGUUCAUGGCUUUCAAAUUUUUGUUUCCUUCAUUUCUUUAUAUGAUGCAUUAUUUCCAGCAACAAAACAUGAGCAUAAUAUAAAGAGAGUUAGCUGCAAUUGAAAUGGUUAUCAAACGGGAGUUUAAAUACGGAUUGUAAUUUUCUGUCAUGCCUGGUGUUGAUGCGAAAAAGUGGUUUGAUACGUAAUUCGUCAACUUAGUCAAAAUGUCCCUUCGGUAGGUCCCCGUCCUUGGUAAGUGGUCCACUCCAGAGGGUCAAGUACCUGCAAAAGGACGCGUUCGGUAAAUCCUUGGGGUACCGGUGCGGUACCGGCCGAAGGCUCUCCGAUGCCUAAAUGAGUACGGAUUUAGUAAGGUUAACUGACAGAUCACACGAUAGCGUACCGUUAGUUCUUCUUCUUCCCUUUUGGGGAUAUGGGUCUCCUUAUAUAGACCUUGGGAGGUGUGCUUUGUGCUCAUUUUUCCGAUGUGGGACUCCAAGCAUGGAUUGUGAACAUGACACGUGUCUGUUGGUAAAAAGGGCCAAGAUAUAUAGCUUCGGUAGUGAGCAUGCCGUAGGGGCCCUGUGAUCAGAGUGGAUCCUGUCCACGUGUCCGGUGGAAAUAGGCCGUUUAAUUAGGUAUAAACAGUAGUCCCUCAAGUUCUCUUUCGAAGGUUCUUCGGAAGGGAAUUUGGUUUUCCUUGGUAGUUCGGAGGUUCUCCUGCCGUUCGGCAUGCUCAUUUGGGGGGAGGAAAGGCGCUUGAGUUGUUCCUUUCGGAAAGUAGUGUUCUGGGAAAAUCGGUCGGGGACUUGAAGGGUCGCCAAUGUUGAGAGGCGAGAGGGCAGAGAGACGCUUCGUCUUCCGUGCCUGGCGCGCAGAUAGAGGCGCCAUUUGCCGGGUGACGCGUGGCCAGCAAUAACACGCCUGUUGGUGCAUUAAUGAGCCGUUUCGUCUCCCGAGGCGUACCGUUACAGUUCUCCCUCUAUAAAUAGAGGUUGCUCUGUAUGAAAAAAUUCACUUUGCAAUUGUGAGUUUGCGCGAGAGCUCUUGAGUAGGCGAUUUUUGAAGUGUGCGAACGGCAAGCAAGGCGAUUUUCGAAGCGUGCGAACGGUAAGCUAGGCGAUUUUCGAAGCGUGCGAACGGCAAGCUAGGCGAUUUUCAUAGCACUCAAGGUAAGAUACCGUUCGGUACCCCUGAAUUUUGUUAUACUUCUGUAUAUGGCAUAGGCUCGCCGAUCGUUAAGUAGGAUCUUCCUUCGGUAGUCUAGUGGCCAUAGGUAGAGAAGUAGGUAUCUGUAGGAUAGCGCAGCACGCACCUUAGUUUUUCCCUUUUUCUUGUUUUGUAGAUGUCCGAUAGCGAGUCACCGUUCGGCGAUGAGCCCAACGCUUUCGACGGGGAGCUAUCUUCCGGCUGGGGUACGUCCAGCGAGGCCGUGAGCCUCGGCGCCGAGGGCGGGGAAGACUCCGAUGCCGAGCUAUUCGGUGAGGAGGCGGAUUCCAUUCCCACCCACGGCAUCGGUAAGGGGUUCAUGACGGGGCACCCGUUACCCCUGGUCGCGGUGUACAGGGACGGUACCCGUGUCGUGCCGUCUGAGCACCAGCCAGAGGCUUCCACCUCCGGCAAUGAUGAGUGUGUUGCCGGUCCCUCUCGGCCGAGAGUUACGAUCGUCCACCGAGAGCGGUAUAGGAUACCGGUGGGCAUACCGCAGAAGACCCUGUUCGGGGUUGAUUAUUUGGGGCCGAACAAACUUACCGAACGGGAGCUUCAAAAGAUUAGGGCCGAAUACCUCAUUCCUGACUCGGUGAAGAUGAGGGUCCCGAGCCCGGUCGAGUCCCUCAGCGACCCUGGGGAUGGUGAAGUCGUCUUCUUCACCGAUAUGCUGGUGCAGGGGGUCAGGUUGCCGUUGCAGCCUGCCGUUCAGAAGUUACUUGCCCAGAUUGGGUAUGCCCCGGGCCAAUAUAACCCCAACUUUUGGGUGGCCCUGAUGGGGGUGAUAACGGCCUUUGGGAUUGCCGGGGAGGGGGAGCCUUCCUACGAGCAAUUCUCCUACCUCUACAGCGUCACUAAGUCGAAGAGUGCCGACCAUGGUGGCUGGGUUCAGGCGAACUGCCUGAAGGCUUCCGAGCGAGGUCACUUCGUCAGCUCGGUGCCGACUUCCCAGAAGUCGUGGAGGAAUCGGCGGGUGCUACUCUCUGGCCAAUGGGAAUCGCCAUCAGGAGUACGCCCGCAGUCCCCAGUACCAACGACUUUCCAAACCGCCGGUAGGUCCCUAGUUACCGAUCGGCAGGUCCCUAGUUGCCUUUCUGUUUUCUUUUUAUAUUUGCUCACUCAUUCUUUAUUCGGACAGGCAAACUCAAGCAGCCGACUCCUACACAAGACGAGAUUCGGCAGAUCGACAGGGUGAGGCUGAAGGUCCCUGCCGCCGAGCGAGUGUACCCGCGCUUCCUUUUCACCAAUAAUCUCAUCAGAGCCGGGCUCGUCGACCCUGCCGAGAGUAAGUGUACUUGUUGCGCUUUUCUUCCUCUUCUCUUUUUUUGUGUGCUUGCCGACUGACUGAUUGUUUUUGGCCAGUGACGGACGCAAGGAGGGCUGCCGAGGCCAAGAAGAUGAACGAAUCUUCCAGGAGGCGCCUCAUGAUGGGCCUCGAGGGCAAGAAGAAAAAGAAGCAGCUCGAGGCCCCUGCCGUUCGGUCGUCGACGGACCCCGAGGAGGUGACCCUCGCUGAGCGUAUGCGGCAGUUGGGCGCUGAGCCUGUCGCAAGGCCGGCUGUCGAUCCCCAUGCGCCGAGGCAUGCCGUCGCCGAUGCCGUCGCCUCAAGGGCUGCCGGGAAGCGGCCGAUAACGGUGGAUUUGGAAACUUCUCCGGCGUCCAAGCGAAGCCGUCCGUCAGACGCUUCCAGGGCCGUCUUUGCGGCGGAGGACGAGGAUGGGCCUACCGAGGCCGUCACUCUCGCCUGCCCCUCGAAGACGGUGCAAUUCGUCAACCAUAUGAUCCUCGGUUCUCAGAUGGAGCUGCCGGAGGUUGACGAGUUGCCGAAGAAGGUUCUUCGGGAGCAGGCUGGACGCGCCUUCCGACUGCAAGCAGCAGUAAGAAUUUAUCUCCCGGUGUUGUCCUUUCAUUAUUUUUUUUUCGGUGCCAAGUGGGGCUUCAAACUAUCUUCCUCGUGUGCAGGCGUCCAUGGAGAUGUGGCUGUGUGUCAAGCGGGCCAUCUCCGCUGCCGAACGGGCAAAAAAGGACUAUGACGACGGCAGGGCUAAGGUUGCCGAGGCUGGAAAGGCUAUCCAGGACCACGCCCAGCUGCUAAAGGAGAAAGAGGCUGCCGAACGGCGGGCUCUCACUUCGGAGGCGACGGUGGGCGAGAUGCGGGCCGAUCUGGAGGCAGCGCGGGCGGCUCUGGAGGCAGCGCGGAUGGCAGCGCGUGAUGCCGAGGCCGUCUCGGAGGCGGUUCAGGACGCUCUGCAGGAGUCCGAGCGGACCAAGGCUGCGGAGGUUGAGGCUGCCAUUCAAACGGCAAUCCAGGGAUACCGUUCUUCCGAGGAGUUCACUGUCCUCCUGGACAGGGAAGUUGGCUCCGAGAUGGCGGGUAUGUUGUACCGAUUCAAGCGGUACAACCCUGGUCAGAAGCUGAACCUCAACUUCGCUGCCGAUCCCCCUCCCCUUCCCGAGGGAAUAACUGAGGAGAUGAUCGAAGACUACGAGGGGGAGGAUGCUGCUGCUGACGAAGCCUGAGGGCCUCUGUAAUAGUUUUAGCCUGUCUUAUUUUUAUUGUUAUUUUGUAUCUGUACCGAACGCCUUGAUGCCGAGGGCAUCUUUAAAUUAGAUGUGCAUAUUUUGUCUAUUUUUGUCUUUUCGAUUUGAUUUUGUUUUAUCGCCGAUAGGAUUUAUAACGUUAUAGAAGUAGCUUUCGAAAUUGUCAAGUUUCGAUGGAAUCUGUAGGGUGACAAUUUCGAAAAUACCUCCUGCCGUAGGUUAGUAAAGAUGCCCCAGAACGUUAUCUUGCUUAUAUUGGCAGCCGUAGGCUAGUAGAGACUGUAACAAGAGUUUCUGAAGCAAUAGUGCCGAAGGCUUUCUAUUUAUCUUUGCCGAAAGGCAUUUACAAUUUUGUCCUACCGUAGGCUAGGUUGCAACUCUGUCCUGCCGUAGGCUAGGUUACUUGAAAUAGUACUUGAGAUGUUCCACGUUCCAAGGAUGACCGAGGGUCUUGCCGUUGGAGUCUCUUAGGCGGUAGGUUCCCGAUCGAAGGAUACCGAUGAUCUCGUAAGGUCCUUCCCAGGAAGGUCCGAGGGUUCCUUCCGUGGCAUCCUUAGUUGCUAGGGACACCUUCCUCAUGACCUAAUCACCGGCUCGGAAUGAACGGUGUCUGAUUCUGGAGUCGUAAUACCGAGAGACGCGUUGCUUGUAGGCUUCGUUUCGAAGGUUGGCAUGUGCUCGGUGCUCUUCCAGGAGGUCGAGGCUUAGAGAAAGUGCUGCUUCAUUUGGCUCUGGUGCGAAGGUUUCCGUUCGGUAGGAAGGUUCGCCAAUUUCUACCGGCACAACGGCUUCCGAACCGAAAGCCAAAGAGAAAGGGGUUUCUCCUGUGGACGUUCGGUAAGAGGUCCGAAUGGCCCAGAGCGCUUCGGGAAGCUUUUCUGGCCAGGCUCCUUUGGCUUUGUCCAGCUGCCGUUUUAGCAGUUUCUUGAUGAUUUUGUUUAUCGCUUCUACCUGACCGUUCGACUGGGGAUGGGCCGGUGAUGCGAAAAACAAGUUGAUCUUCAGGCGGGUGCAAAAGUGCCUGAAGAGUUCCGAAUCGAACUGCCUGCCGUUGUCGGUGAUGAUUGCGUACGGGAUACCGAAACGGCAACAAAUGUGAGUCCAGACGAAGUCCUCUACUCUUGCUGCCGUUAUGGUUGCAAGAGGUUCGGCCUCCACCCAUUUGGUGAAGUAGUCGACGGCAACCACAGCGUAUUUCACCUGGCCUUUACCUUGUGGCAUCGGACCGAUCAGGUCUAGCCCCCACUGUGCGAAAGGCCAAGGACUCACGAUCGGUGUCAAGGGUUCGGCGGGGAUAUGCUGUAUGUUGCCGAAACGCUGACAUUUAUCGCAUUUCUUCACAAGUGAAUUGGCGUCCUGGUGCAUGGUCGGCCAGAAGUAUCCCUGCCGAAAGGCUUUGUGUGCGAGUGACCGGGACCCAGAGUGAUCGCCGCAAACACCAUUGUGGAUUUCCCGGAGAACGUAGCUCCCCUGCUCUGCCGUAAGGCACUUGAGAUACGGAGUCGUGUAGCCACGUUUGUAAAGGACGUCGUUGAUGACGGUGUACCUUGCCGAUCGGUAUCUAAGCUUUCGGGCCUGGGCCUUGUCCUCUGGAAGGGUGCCGUUGGUUAGGUAUGAGUAGAUAGGGGACAUCCACGUAUCCUCGUACCGUACGGUACAUAUUUCGGAGGUUGCCGUGCUUGGUUGGGCAAGAAUUUCCACCGGCACCUUUCUUCCGAUUUUGUCAUUGAUUGCCGAGGCUAGUCGCGCUAAAGCAUCGGCAUGACUGUUUUCGCUCCUGGGGAUCUGUUUGAUCUCAUAGGCUCGGAAGCUCUGGAGCAGCUGGUGGGUGGACGAAAGGUAGGCGUUCAUGGAGGCGUCUCUGGCGGCGAAGUCCGCCGUUACCUGGUUCACAAUGAGUUGGGAGUCACUGUGUAUCUUGAUCUGUUUUGCGUUCAUGCUCUUGGCUAAACGAAGGCCGGCCAAGAGAGCCUCAUAUUCUGCUUCAUUGUUGGAGGUUCGGAAGUUGAAUCGGAGGGCGUACUCGAUCUUGAGUCCCUCCGGUGUUGUCAGAACCAACCCUGCUCCACACCCCUGUUGGUUUGCCGAGCCGUCGACAUGCAGAGUCCAUACAGGAUUUGAGGCGUCGAGCCGUUCGGCGUCUACCUCCAUCGGUGCCGCGGUUUCGGUAACUGGCUCGGGUAUUUCCUGUGUCGUUGGUGGGGUGAGCUCGGAGAUGAAAUCGGCAAUGGCCUGACCUUUUCGGCUGGCCUUGGCACGAAUUGUAUAUCGAAUUCUCCGAGUUCAAUCGCCCACUUGAUCAAUCGGCCGGAAGUCUCUGGUUUUUGGAGUACUUGCCGAAGCGGUUGGUUUGUCAGGACAUUGAUCCCGUGUGCUUGGAAGUAUGGCCGAAGUUUUCGUGCCGAGAUCACCAGGGCUAGUGCAAGCUGCUCUAAUGGGGGAUAUCGAAGUUCAGCGCUCUGGAGUGCCUUACUGACAUAGAAGAUCGGUAGCUCUGCCCUCUCCGGUUUUCGGAUUAACACCGAACUGACGGCAGUGUUAGAUACCGAGAGGUAUAGGUAAAGAAUCUCCCCAGGCAGUGGUUUUGACAGGAGAGGUGCUCUGCCCAUAUAGUCUUUUAAGUCUUGAAAUGCUUUAUCACAUUCGGCAGUCCAUAAGAUAUUCUGUUUGCCCCCUUUCAAGGCUUUAAAGAACGGUACACAUUUGUCGGUAGCCUUGGAUAUAAAGCGAGUCAGGGCAGCCACUCGUCCGGUAAGGCUUUGGAUGUCCUUUGUUGUUUUUGGCCUCUCCAUGUCGAUGAUGGCCUUUAUUUUUUCGGGGUUCGCUUCGAUACCCCUGUGACUAAUCAUGAAUCUGAGGAAUUUCCCGGAAGACACACCGAAGGCGCAUUUCAUCGGGUUUAACCUCAUUCGGUAGCCCUUCAGGAUACCGAACAUGAUAGACAGAUUGUGCAGGUGUUCUUCGGCUGUUCUGCUUUUCACCAACAUGUCGUCAACGUAAACCUCCAUGAUGCUGCCGAUGUGUUCGGCGAAGAUUCUGUUGACAAGCCUCUGAUAUGUUGCCCCCGCGUUCUUCAAGCCGAACGGCAUGACGUUGUAGCAGUACAACCCUCUGUCAGUGAUGAAGGCGGUGUGCUCGCUGUCGGGGGGGUGCAUAAAAAUCUGGUUGUACCCUGAAUAGGCGUCCAUGAAGCUGAGCAGCUCGUGUCCUGCCGUGGCGUCCACGAGCUGGUCUAUUCGGGGUAACAGAAAGCUGUCCUUCGGGCAGGCCUUGUUCAGAUCGGUGUAGUCUUGGCACAUUCUCCAGCCGCCUGUACCCUUUCGAACCAUGACUGAGUUCGCCAGCCAUACCGGGUACGUAACUUCCCUGAUGAAGCCGAUGGUUUGAAGUUUGUCAACUUCCGUCCGCAUGGCUUCGUACCGUUCGGCAUCAUACAAACGGCGCUUCUGCCUUACAGGUUUGUAGGUUGGGGAAAUGCUGAGUUUAUGGCUGAUGAUUUCAGGGUCUAUGCCGGGCAUGUCUUCGUAGGACCAUGCGAACACUUCCGAAUGGUGCCGUAAGAAGUCUAUAAACUGCGCUCGGAGGGCGGGGGUCAGUCUGGUACCGAUUUUAACCCGACGAUCGGGCUGUUCAUCGCUCAGGGUUAUCGUCUCCAGUUCUUCGACGGGUUGCGUAUAAGGAGUUGGUGACUCAUCUCUUGGGUCGUCAACUGGUCCGUUGCCGUUCGGCAUCCCCUGCACAGACAUGGUCUUGUCUGGGAUUUUGAGAGAGGUUGAUUUGAUCGCCGUGGCGUAGCAAGUCCGUGCGCUCAGCUAAUUUCCCCUGACAGAUCCUACGCCAUUUGGGGUCGGGAAUUUCAUCAACAGCAUGUGUGGGGAAAGAUGCGCCUUUACCCUGGUCAGUGCCGUUCGCCCAACAAUGACGUUGUACGCCGUCGGGCAGUCAACGAUGAGGAACUUGUCAUAUACCGUCGUUCUCUUUGGCGCGGUGCCGAAGGUAAUUGGGAGCGUUACGCUACCGACCGGUUGGACCAUGUCCCCGGAGAAACUUAGCAAAGGCGUCAACUGCCGGUUGACCUGGCUGUCCUGUAUUCCCAUUUCUCGGAAAGCUUCGGCGAAGAUUACGUUUACCGAGCUCCCUGUAUCAAUCAGUACUCUCCCUACAUCGUAAUCGGCAAUUUCUGCUCGGACGAUCAUUGGGUCGUCGUGGGGACAGAGAAUGCCCUGUUCCUCUUCUUUGCAAAACGUGAUCGGCUCCCAAUGAUCCUUCGGUGUUUCAUGGUGGCGAUUCACCUCUAUGCCGAACACCUGGGGAAACUGUGCGGCACGCACGUACUGCUUCAUCGAGCGAUUGCUCAGUCCUGCGAUGGUUGGGCCGCCGCUGAUAGUGCUUAUCAUGUUUAUCUGCCGAUUUGCGUUCGGCUCCGGCGCCGUUGGCUGCCGGGCGAUAUACUGGUCUAGCUUCCCCUCUCGGAUCAAGCGUUCGACGAUCUUCCUCAGGCUUAUGCAGUCUUCUGUAUUAUGGCUGUUGUGCUGAUGGUAUCGGCAGAAUUUACCGGUAUCCCGGUUGUCUUGCCGAUUGGGCCUUCGUUGAUUCGGCUUGGGUAUUUUUUCCUGUUCGUUCAUCAGGACGGCCUCGUAGGUAGUAUUCAACAGGGUGAAGACCUCAUUGCCAUGAUCCCGAUUCGGCAGGGGGGCUCGGUUGUCGUUGCGACUGUACCUCCCUUUUUCUUUCUUUGGGUGCUCCCUUCGAUCUGCACGAUCAUCCUUCCUCUUAUGACCUGCCGAGUAGGUGUCGACUCGCUCAUAAGGCGUUGCCCUUGCCGGAUAGGCACUUGGUUCCGCAUUUCCUUGCGGUGCCGAAACCGUGGGUUUCGAGUUGAAGUAUUCGGCCUUGGCGUGGAUUGCUGCCUGCUUCAUCAGUUCAUCGUACGUGCGCCAGUUGCUACUGUGCACCAGGUAUCGAAAAUGAGAGGACCGAAGGCCACUCUUGAAGGCGCCGUAGGCUGCCCUAUCAUCCGUUUCCGGACACCUUGAGUACUCGUGACUGAAACGCGCCGCGUAUUCUCUCAACGGUUCGUCCUCCCUUUGCCGAAUCGUGUACAGAUCAUCGGCGGAGUAGAGACGGUCCGUUUGGAUUAUGAAGUGAUUGAGGAAGAUCUGCUUCAGCUCAUCAAAGGAUGCUACCGUUUCCGGCUCUAAACGGUAGAACCAGUUCAAGGCUGCCCCGGUAAGGGAAGACGGGAAUAGCAGGCACUGCCCCUCAUCGCUCAAGCCCUUGCAUCCAAUAGCGGACUGGAAUGAAUGGAGGUGUGUCAAAGGGUCCUCCGUUCCUGUGUAGAACGUUAUACGCAGUUGCUGCACUUCCCUGUCUUGCCGAGAAUCCCGGAUGCGCCUUGUGAACGGUCCGGGCCGAAGCUUUCCCCAUUCCGGUUCUUGGGAGCGCGCAUUGUCGUUUUCCAUUUUCUGGACCUUCUGAAAAAGGAGUCGGAUCAUGGGGUCUCGGCUAGGGACUUCUUCGGAACCGUAAUCUUCCGAUUGUCUUUGUAGGUUUAGUGAAUUAUCCCCCGCAUACCGCGAUGGUGUUUCCGAACGGUAGUCGGGGGGAAGUGUCUUGGAAGGGAUGUACUCGGACUCCGAAGACUCGGCGGGGCCCAAUCCCCUGACCUUCCGAAUAGGCGACUUAUCCCCUAGGUUAUUCAUCCGUGAUUCCCUUAUUCGAGCGCCAAUCCUGAUCGGUGACCCCUCUCUCUCUGGCUCCCGAUCGUUAGUGCGAUGCUCCCGGUCGUUAAUCCGAUGUCGGCAAUCGGUGUAGACCUUCCUUGGGAUGUGCGGCUGAUCCCGGGGUGCCGGAACCACUAACUCUCUGGAAGGUGCGGGCGUUGCCUUCGCUACCUUCGCGCGUUUGUUCUUCCCGCGGGGGUUCUGCAAGCUCUCGGAAGAGCGAGUUGUCUGUAUGUUCUGCGGUUGCUGCUGGUGAAGCAACUGCUGGGUUUCGUCCACUUUGGACGAAAGGAAGUUGUUGUGUUCCUGAAGCCUCGCCAUGUCCUUCCGUAAGGAUGCGAUUUGGGCUGCCAUCUCGACUUCGGCAGCCGUUUGGGUAGCGGGGGCAUUUCCGAAGGGAGUGUUGGAGGUAGCGCUGGGCUAGCUCCGCUCUGCCUUCCGAACGGUACCCCCUCUUCCGCUAGGAACGUUUGUUUUGAAGUGGUCCCCAUGUGCUUAGGGGAUUGUGGGUUGAUGAUUUUUUGGUUUCCCACAGACGGCGCCAAACUGUUGAUGCGAAAAAGUGGUUUGAUACGUAAUUCGUCAACUUAGUCAAAAUGUCCCUUCGGUAGGUCCCCGUCCUUGGUAAGUGGUCCACUCCAGAGGGUCAAGUACCUGCAAAAGGACGCGUUCGGUAAAUCCUUGGGGUACCGGUGCGGUAUCGGCCGAAGGCUCUCCGAUGCCUAAAUGAGUACGGAUUUAGUAAGGUUAACUGACAGAUCACACGAUAGCGUACCGUUAGUUCUUCUUCUUCCCUUUUGGGGAUAUGGGUCUCCUUAUAUAGACCUUGGGAGGUGUGCUUUGUGCUCAUUUUUCCGAUGUGGGACUCCAGGCAUGGAUUGUGAACAUGACACGUGUCUGUUGGUAAAAAGGGCCAAGAUAUAUAGCUUCGGUAGUGAGCAUGCCGUAGGGGCCCUGUGAUCAGAGUGGAUCCUGUCCACGUGUCCGGUGGAAAUAGGCCGUUUAAUUAGGUAUAAACACCUGGUAAGGAAUAAGCAUGGCUAUUUACGAAACUAUAAUAUGAACAACACUGAGAAACACAAGUAUGGCCAUUUCAAACAGACUACAAAUAACUUCGUAUUCCAACAAUGAAUCAACAGCACCCAUGGCCAUAUACGUUUGCAGCAUCUGAAGGUAGAUCAUCUAAUUAAUGUUAGAAGGAUAAUAGUUUCUAAAGUUCUUUAUUAAAAAAAUCAAUAGACAACCACCAGAGACAAAUUUUGUUUUGGAGAAGAUGAUUAUUCUCAAUUCUUGACAGCUGCAUAAUGCUAAAAUAUGAAUAUGGUUUGAAUACUUUACUUUAGGUUAGUUGUAUUCUUCUUCAUAAAGAGGUAUAUAUGAGUUUACAAGGUGCUUUAUAAGGAAAUAGAUACAGUUAAUUACCAUGGUAUACAAAGUGACUUAGAGACAAAAACUCAGAGACCGACUUGACUUUCACCAUGCGGCUUCUGGAAGUGCAAAUGAACCAUGCACAAGACUUUUAGAGUGAGCUCUUUGGACGUGGACUUGUUAAAACAUGAAAGGUUUUGUGUUGAUUUUUCUCAAUCAUACAAUCCGUUAAUAUACAAAUUUAUGUACACGAACACUACUAAGGAAUGCAAAGACUUUAAGAUCAUACAAACUACAAGUACUUGUUGAGAGUAUUUAGUCCAUGUUUUUUUUUUAAAAAAAUGCAGACAUUCAUUUUGUAUUUUAUUUUCCGUUCAUGUUUUUUUAUGGUUUAUCAAACUCAUAUAAAUAUGAUACAUAAAGCAAAAAAUAGAGAGAGAAUAGUAAAACAUUCAAAAAAUUAAAAAUUGUUCUUACUUCAUUUUUUUUUGUUGGAAUGCAUUUAUUACACAUUGAAACUUUUCAUUAAAUAAGCAUAAUAUAGUAAAUAUAUAUAUAUAUAUAUAUAUUAGAUGGGGACCUAUUUUCUUGGGACACAACUUGACAGGACCCGAUCCAAAUUCCACUUUGGAAUCCGAGCCAUACCCUGUGUGUGUCCGACACUUGGCGAAUGUCGUUUUCCGGCGAGCUCCGGCCACGGAAACUCCGACGAAGGGUCAGAAAAUGACGGCGGUCGAGUGGUGGUUCGUUUGGUACCAACGGCGGAGAUCGGCUCCAAGCGUGGUGGCCGUGGCGACGAUGAGAAGGGAGGAAGGUCGGCUGGCGCGGGCUGAUCGGGAGGAGAGAGAGAAAAGAGAGAAAUUGAUGGGGGAAGAAAGAGAGAGAGAGAGAAACAGGUUUUAUAAAUCUAAUUUUCCAAUUUACCAUUUUCCCCCUCAUGAUAUUUUAAUCGUAUUGUCUUCAUGAAAAUUCCGAUUUGAGCUUACUUCGUGUCUAUGAACUCGUGUCGUCGUGCUCUACGGAACGGUGUAUGGGGAAUUGUCAAAUUCCUUUUCGGUCAAAAAGUCAACUUUGAGUUCAUAAGGUAGUCAAAGGGCAAAAUUGUCUUUCCGUAUAAUAAAUUACUCAUUAAAUAUGAAUUUUAGGUUUGGGUCAUUACACAACUUCUUUAUCUUUUUUUUUAGUUGGAUUCUUAAUUCUUAAAUUAAAAAAACGAAAAUAAAAAACCAAUUGGCACCAAGGUAGUAUAUAUGAAACAUCGUCAGAAAUUAAAUUUUUUUUUUUUUGAAAUGUUCAUAAAAACAAACAAACAAAAAUAUAUACAUACAUUAACAAAAAAAAUAAUUUUCAAAAUAAAUGCACAGUGCCCAAGGAAACUCCUUAUAUAAUGUAUGUCUCUUGAAAAUUGUCAACAAAUCCGCUGUAGCAAUACUUACAAAUGGAUAAUUGUAAUCCGGGUUCGAAUCCCGACAGUGGAAUUCUUUUUAAGUUAGAUGUAUGACAGGAUUCGCCCCAAAUUCCUCGGAACCCGAAAUGAAUCCUGUGAAAUUCCGACAUCACCCCGAUGCCGGGCCCACUUAUUAAAGACCAAGACUUUCUACCAAAAUUUUGGCAGAGUCUCCCCUGUAAUUUGAACAAUCCCAAAAAUUUCAACAUGCAUAAAAUACAUGUCAUAUCCCAACAAGCAGCACGCACAAUAUAAUUUCAUGCAAUUCACAAACUCGACCUUAGGCCCUCACAUGAACCGAAGCGAAACCAAACUACCAACAAAGCCCUUACGCCAAAAAUAUUGCCUUAAUAUGGUAUAACAACACCCUUAAUUCAUCUCUCUAUACGCCUGAAAUUCCAACGCUACGUAUGAGGUCUGUCUCAACGCCGAAAAAUCCUACGCCACGCGAGACCUAACAAAUCACAUAAUCUCCUCAUACGCCGAAAAUUCUAACGCCACAUAUGGGGUCUGUCAUCAUUGAUUUAGGAUAUUAUCUUGAGAGAUAUUAUCAUCAAUUAGUGAUUUAAUCCCAAUCAAAUUGUUAAUUGACUUAAUCUCUCCAUUUAAGGGAAAAAAUAUCUUCCUUCAAAAUAAGAAGAUAUUCGUUGAAAAUCUCUUCAUUUAGGUAAUUCUGAAACGUAGCAAGAAUUCCCCAAAACCUCUCUCUCUCUCUCUCUCUCUCUCUCUCUCUCUCUCUCUCUCUCUCUCUCUCUCUCUCUCUCUCUCUCUCCGCCCUAGCCGACGGCCUCUCUCACUCUUAUCUCUCACACACGGCCAAGUGCCACCACACACGGCUUUGGCCACUCGACUCUCCCCGUGAGAAAAAGCUCCGUACCAUUUUUAGCUAUUGCAACAUAUUUUCUCCUAUUGCCACAUAUUUUCUCAAAGAUCCAAUCGAACUAACUUAGGCAUCGGAGAGAUUUUGACGAACACCUACCAGGUGUGGUUUUUUACUCUUGUUUGUUUCGCAGUAACCGAGCAAGAGAGAGAAGGAAGCUCAAAAAGUGAAAGAUCCACAUGCGAAUAUUCUUCCUUGAGAAAUUUGCAUAAACAGAAGACGUGUGACAUAUUCUUGGUUCAAAAAUAUCCAUCCGAAACAAGGAAAAAAUUGUAAAACCAAACUUAAGAAAUUAUACCUCUAUUCUGGUCAGCAUGAAUGGAUAUGUCCAAACAAAUUUUAAUCCAACAAGAAAAAUCAGAGGAGAAGGUUUAGGGUUUCACAAACAGAUCUACCAAGUAAAACGAAUUAACAUAUGAUAUGGGCAAAAUAAAGAAAUGAGACCAAGAUAAAACUUCUAGAAAGGUGACAAAUUGUCCUUUGAAGUAAUUUUACGUAAGCAUAACAAUUCGAAAUAAAAGAUAAACAAACAAAAAUCCUAUGAAUGGAUGGGACGAGGAAAAUUGAAGCUGACAAUAAAGGUUACUAACUUACUUGGGAUGUAUCCAAAGAAAAAAAAAAACAUGAAGGGAAAUACUAGUUUUCCUUCCUUGUUUUACUUUUCUCCCUCAUUAAUUGUACUUGGCUUUAGCUCCAUGCAUCUUCUCCUCCUUCACGGCAGCUUGGCCCAUCAAUCACGCUAUGAAAACGGCAUUUUUCCAUUUCUUCCAGUCUGGCUACUUUGACAUUUCUUGGGUUUCAUUAUCUAAAUUAAUAUCUAGUACUUGUUUUUUUAUGUACUCGUGCCAAUAUUCAAAGUACCUGCUAUCAUAAAUAAACCUAUGUAAACAGGGACUAAACGUUUAUGGCCCGUUUCCUAGUGUUGAUGACCUAUCAUCUAAUGUUUGAGUUUAAUCCAAAUCUCUCUAGAAGUUUUUUUUUUUUCCUUUCUCUAUGAGGGUUCAAACGUGACACAUCUCGUAACUCGUCUAUAAGUUAAAGUCAAUUUCUAUUGCGCUAGAGACCCUAUUGGCCUCUAAAAGAUCUUUUAGUUACUUCUUUAUCCAAUUGAUCACUUUUUCUACUUUAAUUUUUCUGGAUUGAAUUUGAAUUUUCUGUAAUAUAUAUUUUUUUGGGAUAAUGUAAACAGGGGACUUCACUUCAUUGCAGGUCAAUGACGAUAUCUAGGAACAAUCCAUCAGUCUAGGACCAAACAUUAUGAGUCAUUUGUUAGUUUCCUCAGGGUCCUGUUUACGUGUUGCCAUGGCAGCUUAGACCCGUAAUCAAAAUCGCAAGAAAAGAUCAAAAGUUAGGCACGCUACAAGCCCUAUAUAAAGCACCCCCUGGCACCCAAGUUUAUCAUCAUCCUCCUCACCAAAUUACAAAUUAAUUAAGUUUAUCAGCAACAGCAAGCCAAUUAAGACAUUUCCAAGACGAUGAUGAAGAGCCAAGCAGCUCUCCUCGGCCUCACCACCUUGGCCAUCCUCUUCUUCUCAGGUAUAAUAUUAUACAAACUUUGUUAGUCGAUCAGAUAUCGAUCAAAAGUUUAUUUUUACAAUUGUCUCUGUAAUCUGUUUUCUUAUGAUCACGUUGAAUAUGCAGGUGCACAUGCAGCUAAAAUCACUUUCACAAACAAAUGUUCCUACACUGUCUGGCCAGGAACCCUAACCGGUGACCAAAAACCUCAAUUAUCACUCACCGGGUUCGAGUUAGCAACCGGAAUUAGCAACUCUGUGGACGCUCCGUCCCCGUGGUCCGGUCGCUUCUUUGGCCGAACCAGGUGCUCCACGGACGCGUCAGGAAAGUUCACUUGUGCCACAGCAGAUUGUGGCUCUGGCCAAGUCUCAUGCAACGGUAACGGCGCAGUUCCGCCAGCUACAUUAGUAGAAAUCACUAUUGCUGAGAACGGGGGUCAAGAUUUCUACGAUGUUAGUCUUGUUGACGGCUUCAACUUGCCCAUGUCCGUGGCUCCACAAGGCGGCACCGGAGAGUGUAAGGCCUCAACUUGCCCUGCCGAUAUUAACAAAGUGUGCCCGGCUGAGUUACAAGUGAAGGGAUCUGAUGGAAGCGUAAUUGCGUGCAAGAGCGCUUGCUUAGCAUUAAACCAGCCACAAUACUGUUGCACUCCCCCUAACGACAAGCCGGAGACAUGCCCUCCCACUGACUACUCUAAGCUCUUCAAGACCCAGUGCCCUCAAGCUUAUAGCUAUGCUUAUGAUGACAAGAGCAGCACCUUCACAUGCAGUGGUAGACCUGACUACCUCAUCACAUUCUGCCCAUAAGCAUACAUAUAUAUAUAAUGGGAUCUUAUAUGUUAUGACAUUAUACAUAUAGUUCCCAAUAACAGAGAAGAAUAAAUAAAUUUCCUGGAUCUUGACACAUUGUUGAUGUCAAGAAUUUGUAAUGCAGACGAUCAAAUAAAGGUAUAAAUGUUUGGAUUUUAUUUUCAUUCAUUUCCUUAUACGUGCAUUAUUUCCAGCAACAAAGCAUGAGAAUAAUAUAAAGAGAGUUAGCUGCAAACUGAAAUGGUUAUCAAACGGGAGUUUAAAUACGGAUUGUAAUUUUCUGUCAUGGCUGGUAAGGAAUAAGCAUGGCCAUUUACGAAACUAUAAUAUGAACAACACUGAGAAACACAAGUAUGGCCAUUUCAAACAGACUACAAAUGACUUCGUAUUCCAACAAUGAAUCAACAGCACCCAUGGCCAUAUGCGUUUGCAGCAUCUGAAGGUAGAUCAUCUAAUUAAUGUUAGAAGGAUAAUAGUUUCUAAAGUUCUUUAUUAAAAAAUCAAUAGACAACCACCAUGACUGUUUUGGGAAAUUAGAGACAAAUUUUGUCUUGGAGAAGAUGAUCACUUCUCAAUGCUUGACGGCUACAUAAUGCUAAAAUAUGAAUAUGGUUUGAAUACUUUAUUUUAGGUUAGUUGUAUUCUUCUUCAUAAAGAAGUAUAUAUAGGAGUUUGUUUUACAAGGAAAUAGAUACAGUAAAUCACCAUGGUAUACAAGGUGAUCACUUAGAGACAAAAAUUGAAAUGGUUCCCAAAGCCUUCCCUUAGCAAGCAGGUACCAUUGCAAGAAUGGUUCCAUAGUCAAUAAUGACAAGACCCGCAAGGAUGAUCUCGAAUUUAUAUGCAUGUUUUAAUUUCAUGGGCCUGUUGUUCUUCUACUACAGUAAUUAGAAUUUGUUUACAAGUGUGAAUUUUCCCAGAGCAAUUUCAGGGACCGACUUGACUUUCACCAUGCGGCCUCAGGAAGUGCAAAUGAACCCCGCACAAGACUUUUAGAGGGAGCUCUUUGGACGUGGACUUGUUAAAACAUGAAAGGUUUUUGUGUUGAUUUUUCUGAAUCAUACAAUCCGUUAAUAUACAAAUUUAUAUACACGGAGACUACUAAAGAAUGUAAAACUUUAAGAUCAUACAAACUACAAGUACUUGUUGAGAGUAUUUAGUCCAUGUUUUUUUUUUUUUAAUCCAGACAUUCAUUUUGUAUUUUAUUUUUUUUAUCGUUUAUCGAACUCAUAUAAACAUGAUAUAUAAAGCAAAAAGUAGAGAGAGAAUAGUAAAACAUUCAAAAAAGCAAAAAUUGUCCUUGCUUCAUAAUUUUAUUUCUUUGUUGGAAUGAAUUUAUUACGCAUUAAUUAAACUUUUCAUUAAAUAAGCAUAAUAUAGUAAAUUAAUAUAUAUAUAUUUUUUAAAAUGGGGACCUAUUUUCAUGAGAUACUUCUUCUUCUUCUUUUUUUUUUUUUUUGUUAGAUUCUCUUUCUUAAUUCUUAAAUUCAAAAAAUGAAAAUAAAAAACCAAUUGGCACCAAGGUAGUAUAUGUGAAACAUCGUCGGAAAUUUAAUUGUUUUUUAUUGAAAUGUUCAUAAAAACAAACUAACAAAAUAUAUACAUACAUUAGAAAAAAAAAAAUUUGUUUCAAAAUAAAUGCACAGUGCCCAAGGAAUCUCCUUAUGUAACUUAUGUCUCUUCAAAACUGUAAAAAAAAAAAUCCGCUAUAGCAAUACUCACAAGUGGAUAAUUGUAAUCCGGGUUCGAAUUCCGGCAGUAGAAUUCUUUUUAAGUUAGAUGUAAAUGUGAUCCAUUUUAUAUCAGUUAUAAUAGUUGUCGUAAUGAGCUUCUUUUUAAGUCUCUGUUUAUAUAGCAGCUUCUUCCCUAACUUGAGUAGAAUCCAAUUUGCGGCUAAGAUCACUUAAGAUGCAAGACUUUUAGUCACAAAGUAAAUAUUCCUAUUUCAGUCCUUGUCAAAACUUUGGCAAAAAAAAAAAGAAAAAUGAUUCCUAUCAAAACAUAGAGCAUCCACAAUGGGAGGGUGUAUAUGAGGGUGUAUGUUAAAUAUACAUCCCUUGUCACCGGAAUCAUCUGCAAUGGGGAGAUGAAAAGGGUUGUAAAUAUACAUCACCACCAUGGAGAUGUAAAAAAAUGUACAUUUACAUCUAUUUUUACAUCUUUUGCAAGUGGGACCCACCCGAAAAAAGAGAAGAAAAAUGAAGAAAAGUCAGCAUAAAAGGCUGGGACCCGCGGCUACAGUAAUUGCUAGAAAAAAAAAAUCACAUGUUGUUUGCUUAUUUGUGGUUUUCAUGCUCCCCCAAUGUUUUUGGAUGAUCAUAUCUUCUCCGAAUUUCAAUAUUUUUAGGGCUAUUUGUUUGAAAAAUUAAAAUUAACCUCAUACAAAAAAAAAUUAAUUUUAUAAAGUAAACACAAAAUACAAAUUUAACACAAAAACGAAUUAAGAAAAAUAAAACAAUUACACAUCUUAGAUUUACAUCUUCUCCUAUUGGAGCCAAAAACGUAUUUACAUCCCCUGGAGGUGUAAAGGGGAUGUAAAAGUGGCUUUACACCCCCGAAUUUACGCCCCUUACUGUGGAUGCUCUCAGUGCAUAUGAUGUACAGAUAAUUCACCAAAAAAAAAAAAAAAGGAAAUUAGUAUUGACAGUAUUCCACAUGGGAAGAUGGAAACGUUGUAAUAUAGUGCUUAAACUUCUCCACCUAUUGUCAAUUAUUUUUACGUUGAAUGCUGAUAUCUUAAAGAUAACGCUACUCAAUCAGGUUCUUAUUUGACUCUCAACAUUGAAAAAUGCAUUACAAACUAAAGUUCAUUUUAUCGUGGAAUAUAUAUAUUUUUUCAUGGACCCUGAAAUUUAGAAAACAAUUAAAAAGGCAAAAAAGAAAAAGAAAAAUAGGCAAUUUAGGGUCCUUUCAGUAAUGUUUUCGGAGAAUAUAUUCAGAAAAUGAAAAUGAGAAAACGAAUAUACAUUUUCAAGAUUCGAGAAUGCAUAUGGUAGACUAAGUAAAUAUUUUUCGAGAACGAAAACAGUAAAAACGUGUCUAAUACGAACAUAUGAAAAUGACAAAAAUACUGAAUUGGCAACAGUAUUAUAAAAAUUAUUUUCAACAUCAUAAAUCAAAUAUUGUGUGUAGCACAUAUCUUAUCAGACUUACUAAUAGGCCAAAAAAUUUCUUAAAAAUUGUGCAAUGGUCUAAUUAAUUAUCAUUAUCCAAUACAUGCUAGAUAACCCAAAAUGGGCUCAUGUCCUCCAAGAUAUCAUCCUACAUCAUAGAUCAAAUCUCUUAUAGUCUCACAAAUAUUUGAAAAAUAUGCAAAAUAAAAUUUAAAAUCAUGUUGUCAUGAGCACUAAAUAAAACCCCACCAUAAAUUUGCUGCGAUAUAUUGUCUCUAAUGUCGCCUAUUUGUGCAAUAUUUCCUUUUGACAUAUCUAUAUUCGGUGGUAUUGUAUUUUUUGAGUCAAUGAUCAUGUCUUCAACUUGGAACUCUUCGAUCAUCCUAUCACGACCAACUUCUUUUCUUAUAAAAUUAUGCAACACACAACAUACAAUAGGAACUCAUUGUUGCCUUCUCGGAGGAUAAUUAGGCAUCAAUUUCAAAAUUAGAAAAAGAGCUUUCAAAACACCAAAACAUCGCUCAAUUACAUUACAUAAUGAGGAGUGCCUAUAGCUCAACAAUUCCAUAGGACCUCUUGGUGUUUGUCGAGGUCCUCUAUCAUCACGCAAAUGAUAUCUCUCACCUCGAUAGGGUGCCAAGAAUUCAGGCACUUUUGAAUAUCCAACAUCCACAACAAUACCCUGUAAUUGUAAUUUAUUACUUGCAAGACACAAAUAAUGUACAUAAUAAUAUUAAUUGUAAUCUUAUGUUUAUACCUUCUUCUGGAAAAGGAAACUCUCAUUUUCUGGCCUUAUCACUGCAUCUAUGAACACCCUAGAGUCAUUUGCAGUUCCUUCCCAGCCCGUAUAAACAAAAGUGAACAUCAUGUCCAAAGAGCAAGCACACAUGGCCUUUUGAGUAAUAAGAAUCUUCCUACCAUGAUAUGAGGUUUGCUUUUGAGUUGGUGCCUAAGCAACAACAUGAGUUCCAUCAAUUGCACUAACACACUUCUGCGAUAAAUUCAUAUAUUUACAAACUAUAAAGUAAAUAUAAUUUAAAAUAUAUAAUUAUAAUAAUAAAAUAAAUAAAAUUAACAAUUGAUUUCUCACCUCAAAAUAAGGAUAAUACUUUAGGUUAUUCAAAAUUUCAGAAGGUGUUUCCUCUCGACUUUGUGGCCUUAUAAUACGUGGUGCUAAAGCACAUAAAGCUCCCAAAACACACUAAAAUUGUCUAUGAAUUGUGUCUUUAGAUCGUUGGAAAUGAUCAACAGCCAGUCACAUGCAGAUAUUAUGAGACACUAUAAAUAUGAAAAUUGCCAUUGCCUUAUAAGUACCCACAUUUCUAUCAUUCUGUGGCAAAUUUAAACUCUCAAGUGUGUAACGCAACCUUUGGAAUACAUGUUUGUACAUGUGAAACGAGUCUUAAAUCCUAUCUGCUGGAUGCCCAUUCAAACAUAUUCAUGCUCGGAUAAAACAGAAUUAUGACAUGGAGUUCUAUGUACAUAUGAUUGCCAAUAUUCAUAAAUAUGCAUACAAAUUAUCAUAUGAUGCACCAUUUCCUUCGGAUCUGAAUCACUAUCGGAGUGAUUGUCUUCAUUCCUUAUAGACAUGUCUAGUACCUUCAAGUAUUCAAAUUCAAUAAAGAAUUAUGCAUACAAAUUAAAGUCACAAAAAUCUAAAAUAUGCAUACAAAUUAAAGUCACAAACAUCAAACAGAAUAAGAAGAACAAUUCAUUAGUAUUCUCUCAACAAUAAACAUAAGUAGCAAUCCUAAAGACUAGCCAACCAAACUCUCCUCCUUUCUUCUGGCAUUAUAACAAAGAUUUUCCUCCAUUCAACAAUCACUAUCUUUUCUAGCAUCUUGUCGAUGUAUUGUUAUCAAUAUCUCCCAUUGUCUCAACAAUUCCUAUGCAUUCUUCAAUCGAAUACAUUUCCUUAGAGGUGCUAGAUGCCUCAAGCAAUGGCCACAGCAGCAAGCAACAACAGCAACAAUAGAAGCUACUCUGCCAUCUUCUGCCGCUUCCAUCUGUCUAGCCGUCAUGUCACGACGACAACCCGCAAACAAAAAGAAAAAGAAAAAGGCCACGCUAGCCGCCGCUACCAUCGAUACCGAUCAUGACAACAACUAACCGGGCCCACCUAGUUGGUACUCAUGUCGAAGAAGAAAAGAAGAAGAAAAAAAAAUCAAAUUCGAUUUACCUUGGGGUGUACGGCAACUCCUCUCUUCAACAAGCAGUACAAUUCUCCAAGAUCUCUCUCAAACUAGAAAGCAAAGAAGACAAGUUUUCAAUUUGAAGAAGAGCGAAAAGAAGCUUUGUAUUUAUAAAGAUUGGGCAUCCUAGGUCAAGAAGGAAGCACGAGUUCAUUUCCAUUAGGAGCUCAACUCAAGAAAAAGUCAAAAGCCUACUCCAAUUAGGAGCCCAAUUGGCAAAAGGAUUCCAACUCAAAGAAGAAAGCCCAAAUGCAGUUGGAAAGCCCGAAAAGUAUUUCUCACCUCCUCUACACCUCACAAGCGCCAUGCAAAAGUUGGGGGACAUUUGUGGGAGAAAAUAAUCAAGUUUCCAAUCAUAAGGUGCCACAUGGACAAGAAGAAUAUCUCCUAUGUCAAUUAAUUGAGCCCAUUUAUUUGGCUAAUUAGUUGAUCUAAAAAUAGGGAUAUUAUCUUAAAUAUGGGAUAUUAUCUUUAUUUGGGAAUAUAAUUACCAAUUAAAAGAUAAUAUCAUCAAUUUAGGAUAUUAUCUUAAUUGGGAUAUAUUAUCAUCAAUCAAUGAUUUAAUCCCAAUCAAAUUCUUAAUUGACUUAAUCUCUCCAUUUAGGGGAAAAAAUAUCUUCCUUCCAAAUAAGAAGAUAUUCUUUGAAAAUCUCUCCAUUUAGGUAAUUCCGAAACCUAGCAAGAAUUCACCAAAACCUCUCUCUCUCUCGCCGACGGCCUCUCUCACUCUUAUCUCUCUCACACGGCCAAGUGCCACCACACACGGUUCUGGCCCCCUGACUCUCCCCCGGAGAGAAAGCUCUGUACCUUUUUAGUUAUUGCCACAUAUUUUCUCAAAGAUCCAAUCGAACUAACUUAGGCAUCCGAGGGACUUUGGCCAACAACUUCCGGAUAUAGUUUUUUACUCAUGUUUGUUUCGUAGGAACGAGGAAGAGAGAGAAGAAAGCUCAAAAGGUGAAGGAUCUACAUGCGAAUACUCUUCCUUGAGAAAUUUGCAUAAACAGAAGAAGUGUGACAUAUUCUUAAUUCAAAAAUAUCCAUCCGAAACAAGGAAAAAAUUGUAAAACUAAACUUAUGAAAUUAUACCUCUAUUCUGGUCAGCAUGAAUGGAUAUGUCCAAACAAAUUUUAAUCCAAAAAGAAAAAUCAGAGGUGAAGGUUUAGGGUUUCACAAACAGAUCUACUAAGUAAAACGAAUUAACAUAUGAUAUGGGCAAAAUAAAGAAAUGAGACCAAGAUAAAACUUCUAGAAACGUGACAAAUUGUCCUUUGAAGUAAUUUUACGUAAGCAUAACAAUUCGAAAUAAAAGAUAAACAAAUAAAAAAUCCUAUGAAUGUGGAUGGGACGAGGAAAAUUGAAGCUGACAAUAAAGGUUACUUGGGAUAUAUCCAAAGAAAAAAAAAGAAGAGAAAUACUACUUUUCCUUCCUUGUUUUACUUUUCUCCCUCAUUAAUUGUACUUAGCUUUAGCUCCAUGCAUCUUCUCCUCCUUCACAGCAGCCUAGGCCAUCAAUCACGCUAUGAAAAUGGUUACGUGGCGCACGCCUGGUUGUGUAUGGACUGUUUUUCAAAAUCACGAGUGUUCUUAAUCAACGUUUUAAUUUGAUAUGGUUGGCAAUUUUCCAAUUCUCCCAGUCUUGCUACUUUGACUAAAUUAAUAUCUACUUGUUUUUUUAUGUUUGCAAGUAAUAUGUACUCGUGCCAGUAUUCAAAGUACCUGCUAUUACAAAUAAACCAAUGUAAACAGGGACUAAGCGUUUAUGGCCCGUUUCCUAGUAUUGAUGACCUAUCAUCUAAUGUUUGGGUUUAAUCCAAAUCUCUCUAGAAGUUUUUUUUAUUUUUUUUUUAUUUUUUUAUGAGGGUUCAAAUGUGACACCACUUGUCUACAAGUUAAGGUCAUUUUCUAUUGCGCUAGAGACUCUAUUGGCCUCUAAAAAAUCUUUUAGUUACUUCUUUAUUAAUGUAUACACGUGACUAGAGACCAUCUAAUAGUUAUCACAUUUUCCAUUUACAUGUGUGUCUGUGACUAAGCUAACAAUUGUAACUAUAUAUGUUUAUCCAAUUGAUCACUUUUUCUACACUUAUCUACAUGUGUGUCUGGCCUAUAUGAUGACUUUAAUUUUUCUGGAUUGAAUUUGAAUUUUCUGUAAUAUAAAUUUUUUGGGAUAAUGUGGGGACUUCAUUGCAGGUCAAUGACGUUAUCUAGGACCAAAUAUUACGAGUAAUUUAUUAGUUUCCCCAGGGUCCUGUUUACGUGUUACCAUGGCAGCUUAGACCCGUAAUCAAAAUAGCAAGAAAAGAUCAAAAGUUAGGCACGCUACAAGCCCUAUAUAAAGCACCCCCUGGCACCCAAGUUUAUCAUCAUCCUUCUCACCAAAUUACAAGUUAAUUAAGUUUAUCAGCAAGAGCAACAGCAAGCCAAUUAAGACAUUUCCAUGACGAUGAUGAAGAGCCAAGCAGCUCUCCUCGGCCUCACCACCUUGGCCAUCCUCUUCUUCUCAGGUAUAAUAUUAUACAAACUUUGUUAGGUGAUCAGAUAUCGAUCAAAAAGUUUAUUUUUACAAUUGUCUCUGUAAUCUUUAGUCUUAUGAUCAUGGUUUAAUGUACUUUGAAUAUGCAGGUGCACAUGCAGCUAAAAUCACUUUCACAAACAAAUGUUCCUACACUGUCUGGCCAGGAACCCUAACCGGUGACCAAAAACCUCAAUUAUCACUCACCGGGUUCAAGUUAGCAACCGGAAUUAGCCGCUCUGUGGACGCACCGUCCCCAUGGUCCGGUCGCUUCUUUGGCCGAACCAGGUGCUCCACGGACGCGUCAGGAAAGUUCACUUGUGCCACAGCAGAUUGUGGUUCUGGCCAAGUCUCAUGCAACGGUAACGGCGCAGCUCCGCCCGCUACAUUAGUAGAAAUCACUAUUGCUUCGAACGGGGGUCAAGACUUCUACGACGUUAGUCUUGUUGACGGCUUCAACUUGCCCAUGUCCGUGGCUCCACAAGGCGGCACCGGCAAGUGUAAGGCCUCAACUUGCCCUGCCGAUAUUAACAAAGUGUGCCCGGCUCCGUUACAAGUGAAGGGAUCUGAUGGAAGCGUAAUUGCGUGCAAGAGCGCUUGCUUAGCAUUCAACCAGCCAAAAUACUGUUGCACUCCACCUAACGACAAGCCGGAGACAUGCCCUCCCACUGAUUACUCUAAGCUCUUCAAGACCCAGUGCCCUCAAGCUUAUAGCUAUGCUUAUGAUGACAAGAGCAGCACCUUCACAUGCAGUGGUAGACCUGACUACCUCAUCACAUUCUGCCCAUAAGCAUAUAUAUAUAUAUAGAAUGGGAUCUUAUAUGAUAUGAUAUUAUACAUAUAGUUCCCAAUAAAUAAAUUUCCUGGAUCUUGACACAUUGUUGAUGUCAAGAAUUUGUAAUGCAGACGAUCAAAUAAAGGAAUAAAUGUUUGGAUUUUAUUUUC